GACGAACGCUGGCGGCGUGCUUAACACAUGCAAGUCGAACGGGGAAUUUAUUUCGGUAGAAUUCCUAGUGGCGAACGGGUGAGUAACGCGUAGGCAACCUGCCCUUCAGACGGGGACAACAUUCCGAAAGGGAUGCUAAUACCGGAUACGAAGCUUCUGCCGCAUGACGGAAGCUUGAAAGGUGCCCUCAAGCACCGCUGAAGGAUGGGCCUGCGUCCGAUUAGCUGGUUGGUGGGGUAACGGCUCACCAAGGCGACGAUCGGUAGCCGGUCUGAGAGGAUGAACGGCCACAUUGGGACUGAGACACGGCCCAG
rnacentral:rRNA from 1 species